rnacentral:rRNA from 1 species
AAUAGAGACCCAGGUAGUCCACGCCGUAAACGAUGAGUGCUAAGUGUUAGAGGGUUUCCGCCCUUUAGUGCUGAAGUUAACGCAUUAAGCACUCCGCCUGGGGAGUACGGCCGCAAGGCUGAAACUCAAAGGAAUUGACGGGGGCCCGCACAAGCGGUGGAGCAUGUGGUUUAAUUCGAAGCAACGCGAAGAACCUUACCAGGUCUUGACAUCCUCUGACAACCCUAGAGAUAGGGCUUCUCCUUCGGGAGCAGAGUGACAGGUGGUGCAUGGUUGUCGUCAGCUCGUGUCGUGAGAUGUUGGGUUAAGUCCCGCAACGAGCGCAACCCUUGAUCUUAGUUGCCAUCAUUAAGUUGGGCACUCUAAGGCGACUGCCGGUGACAAACCGGAGGAAGGUGGGGAUGACGUCAAAUCAUCAUGCCCCUUAUGACCUGGGCUACACACGUGCUACAAUGGACGGUACAAAGAGCUGCAAGACCGCGAGGUGGAGCUAAUCUCAUAAAACCGUUCUCAGUUCGGA